rnacentral:misc_RNA from 1 species
AUGACGUCACGGUACAAUGUUCUGUUGUAUGAGGAUGUGGGCUCAGCAGAUUUCUCGAUUUUCGCCCGUGUUUGCGAAGCACUGAAGCAGGCAGUAAGUUGUUGACCGUAUAACGUCGUUGUCAGAGGAAACAAUUCAUGUUGAGUCAAUGUGUAGCUUUCGGCUAAAAUACGAUAAGUUGCCACCGCGUUAACCGUGGCAAUAUGUAUGUGAAUGUGAAUUGUUGUUAAAACGAGUAAAGUAAACAAAAAAAUAAUUGUAAGACAAAACUGCAGACCAUCAAUCAACAUUUCCCAGAAAGCAGUCCAGGAUGUUACUCGAAACAAAGAAAAUGGUACCUCCUGAUGGCGGGUAUGGAUGGAUUGCAGUCAUUGGAGUUAGCAUAGUUAAUCUAUGCACAAGAUCAAUAGAACAAUCCUUUGGAAUUCUUUUUGGAGACGUCUUAGCCGAAAUAGGUGUAGCGACGACAGGAUCAGCUGUGAUAAUGAGUACCUUAGAUGCGUUAAUUAAUUUUUCUGGUUUAUUUGUCGGCCCUUUAAUUCGUGCCUUUUCUUAUCGAAAAGUAUCUUUUGCUGGCGCCUUCUUAACAGCUCUGGGAUUAAUGAUGACCUCUCCAGCCCGGAGUAUGACGCAUAUAAUUGCCACAUACAGUAUUAUUAACGGAAUAGGUGUUGGUUUAGCAUCUUCAGCAACUUUUGUUUCCUUAAACCAUUACUUCCUUAAAAAAAGAGGUCAAGCGGUAGGAUAUUCGAUGGCAGGAACAGCCUUCGGUAUGUUCGUCAUACCACACGCUGUAGGGUUCCUAUUGGAAAUGUAUACGUUUAGUGGCGCUAUUCUAAUAUUAGGCGCAAUUGCUUUACAUGGACUGGUAGGAUCAGCCCUUUUACAACCGGCCAAAUGGCAUUUGGUUCCAGAUAAAGUCAUAGAAGAAGAACCGAUAAAGGAAAUGGAAACAAUAAAGGAAGCUGAAGAGGAUCUGGAAAGUGAUGCCACUUCUCCCACUUUAAUAACCGUAACAACUAAUCCAGAUCUAUCUCCCAAAGUGUUUGACGAACGACCCUUGACCAGAAAAGCGACGUUUCCUCGAAAUUUUUCUACCAUGAGUUUUUUAAAUAGACGCAGAAAGACAUCAACCGAAUCAAUUUAUUCCAGUAUAUCUACCAUGGAUUUUACGGGAUCAAGUUUCCAUCUUCACUUGCAAGAUCCUGUUAGAGAAGAACCGAAAUGCAAUGAAAACGGACUAACAGUUCCACUAGCUCAUGGUAUACGGAGAAAUAUGAGUUAUCCUGCUGUUCAAACCCAUGACAGGGAAAACAAACUUCUCAAGGAAAUACGGGAGAGAGAACCUCUGCACUUUGAACCAAAAAAGAAAGAUACUGUUUGGAAAAAGAUAAUUGAUUUCUUGGAUUUAGACUUGCUAACAGAUCCGAUAUAUUUAAAUCUUGUAUUCGGUUUAUCAGCGUUCUACGUGGCUGAACAAAAUUUUAAGAUGUUACUUCCAUUUUUCUUUAACAAUCUUCAGUACACGAAACAAGAUCAAGCGAACUUCUUGUCGAUUCAAGCUGCUGCUGAUAGUUCUGUUCGGUUAAUCUUUUCACCAAUUUUUGAUAAAUUUAAUAUCAGGAAACGAACUCUGUUUUUUAUUUCUAUCUUUCUGCUCGGAAUUAGUCGAUCAGUAUUAGCGGAACAGACUGAGUGGACGAUGAUCGUGAUUGUCCUCGUUAUUUGCGGGUUCUUUAGAGGCUGUGCUCUAAUUAAUUUCACAAUAACCAUAGCGGAAUAUUCUUCCUUGGAGAAGCUUCCGGCCGCAUUCGGUCUUCAUAUGGUUGGUAAAGGAAUAUUUGUAGUGGCUUUUGGGCCACUUCUCGAUUAGUUUUAUAUGGACGUUGAUGACUUUUGACACGCAUUUAGGACAUCAACACGCGCGAAGCCACGAGUUAUAUUCGGGACAAA